UGGGGAAUAUUGCACAAUGGGCGCAAGCCUGAUGCAGCCAUGCCGCGUGUGUGAAGAAGGCCUUCGGGUUGUAAAGCACUUUCAGCGAGGAGGAAGGUGGUGAAGCUUAAUACGCUCAUCAAUUGACGUUACUCGCAGAAGAAGCACCGGCUAACUCCGUGCCAGCAGCCGCGGUAAUACGGAGGGUGCAAGCGUUAAUCGGAAUUACUGGGCGUAAAGCGCACGCAGGCGGUUUGUUAAGUCAGAUGUGAAAUCCCCGGGCUCAACCUGGGAACUGCAUUUGAAACUGGCAAGCUAGAGUCUCGUAGAGGGGGGUAGAAUUCCAGGUGUAGCGGUGAAAUGCGUAGAGAUCUGGAGGAAUACCGGUGGCGAAGGCGGCCCCCUGGACGAAGACUGACGCUCAGGUGCGAAAGCGUGGGGCAGCAAACAGGAUUAGAUACCCUGGUAGUCCACGCUGUAAACGAUGUCGAUUUUGGAGGUUGUGCCCUUGAGGCGUGGCUUCCGGAGCUAACGCGUUAAAUCGACCGCCUGGGGAGUACGGCCGCAAGGUUAAAAC
rnacentral:rRNA from 1 species